rnacentral:rRNA from 1 species
UAGCAGGGCCCCAAGUGGUAGUCGUUAUUAUUGGGCUUAAAGUGUUCGUAGCCGGCCAUGCAAGUCUGCUGUGAAAUCCACGCGCUUAACGUGUGGGCGUGCAGCGGAUACUGCAUGGCUAGGGACCGGACGGCGUCGAGGCUAUUCCAGGGGUAGGGGUGAAAUCCUAAAAUCCCUGGAGGAGCACCUGUGGCGAAAGCGCUCGACGAGUACGGAUCCGACGGUGAGGAACGAAAGCCAGAGGAGCAAA